rnacentral:snoRNA from 1 species
CUGGCAGAGUAAGCAAUGUAGGAAAUGUAAUCUACAAUUCAUGUGAAUUAAUAACUUUCAAAAGUUUCAAGUAAGAUAAAACAAUUAACACAAAUUCUACUG